rnacentral:rRNA from 1 species
AUCACGGAGAGUUUGAUCCUGGCUCAGAACGAACGCUGGCGGCGCGUCUUAAGCAUGCAAGUCGAGCGGGAUUGUCUGGCUUGCCAGACAUGAGAGCGGCGGACUGGCGAGGAGCGCGUGGGCGACGCGCCCCCCGGACGGGAACAGCCCGUGGAAACACGGGGUAAUGCCGGAUGGCAUGCAGGGCUUGGAGGCCCUGCAUCAAAGGGGCUUCGGCCCCGCCGGGGGA